rnacentral:lncRNA from 13 species
AUGGCUAUCCAAAAAAUAUGGCUCCAUCUAUGGUUCACUUUGGACCCAAGAAAGUGGUUGUUCUGGCAGGAUACAAGAUUGUCAAGCAGGCGCUGGUCAACCAUGCAGAGGAGUUUGGGGACAGGGGAACGCCGCCUGUGUUCUAAGAUUUCACCAGUGGACAUGGUAAUGUCCAAACCUGUAAUCCAGUUAACUGUUGCAUUCUACACAAUUGUCUGUCAAGCAGGCAUAGUUGGUGCUGUAACUCCAGACCCAAAUAUUUGACAAAGAUAUUAUUCUCUCCUGACAUGAUUAAUUCCUGACACCUGCACAAUGUGACUUUUCUACAGGAAUUCUGGUUGCCAAUGGAGACUCAUGGAAAGAGAUGAGAUGCNNNNNNNNNNCUGUGUCUUUGUGAGACGGAGAGGAGUAGUAGUUCCCACCGUGAAGCAUGGAGGAGUAGGUAUGAUGGUGAGGGGGUGCUGAAAGCACACUUAACCAGCAUGGCUACCACAGCAUUCUGCAGCGAUACACUUUCCCAUCUGGUUUGCACUUAGUCCCACUGUGAUUUUUAUUGUGCGGCUGUCCGUGUCACAUCCUGACCUUAGUUCCUUUUUUAUGUCUCUAUUUUAGUUUGGUCAGGGCGUGAGUUGGGGUGGGNNNNNNNNNNAGGCAGCUGUCAAUCGUUGUUUCUGAUUGAGAACCAUACUUAGGUAGCCUGUGUUCCCACUGAUUCGUGGGUAGUUAUUUUCUGUUUAGUGUGUUGUUUCACCUGACAGGACUGGUUUGUUUAUUUCUUUCAUUCACGGUGUUGUUUUGUGUGUUCAGUUCUAAUAAAUUAACAUGGACACUUACCACGCUGCAUAUUGGUCUGAUCUUGACUACUCUUCCUCAGACGAAGAAUAGAUUCGUUACAGUCCGGUACACCAGUAUCUAUAGGUAGACUUNNNNNNNNNNAUUCACAGUGUUGUUUUGUGUGUUCAGUUCUAAUAAAUUAACAUGGACACUUACCACGCUGCAUAUUGGUCUGAUCUUGACUACUCUUCCUCAGACGAAGAAUAGAUUCGUUACAGUCCGGUACACCAGUAUCUAUAGGUAGACUUUAUCUGUAUGCUUUAUCCCUCCAGCUAUCCAAAAAAUAUGGCUCCAUCUAUGGUUCACUUUGGACCCAAGAAAGUGGUUGUUCUGGCAGGAUACAAGAUUGUCAAGCAGGCGCUGGUCAACCAUGCAGAGGAGUUUGGGGACAGGGGAACGCCGCCUGUGUUCUAAGAUUUCACCAGUGGACAUGGUAAUGUCCAAACCUGUAAUCCAGUUAACUGUUGCAUUCUACACAAUUGUCUGUCAAGCAGGCAUAGUUGGUGCUGUAACUCCAGACCCAAAUAUUUGACAAAGAUAUUAUUUUCUCCUGACAUGAUUAAUUCCUGACACCUGCACAAUGUGACUUUUCUACAGGAAUUCUGGUUGCCA